UACGGAGGGGGCUAGCGUUGUUCGGAAUUACUGGGCGUAAAGCGCGCGUAGGCGGCUUUGUAAGUUAGAGGUGAAAGCCCGGAGCUCAACUCCGGAACUGCCUUUAAGACUGCAUCGCUAGAACGUCGGAGAGGUGAGUGGAAUUCCGAGUGUAGAGGUGAAAUUCGUAGAUAUUCGGAAGAACACCAGUGGCGAAGGCGACUCACUGGACGACUGUUGACGCUGAGGUGCGAAAGCGUGGGGAGCAAACAGG
rnacentral:rRNA from 1 species